AGAGCACAUUAGAUACUUCAUUUGAUACUGUUGUCUCUGAUGCCACCACUGCAGCUCCUGCUACCAUGACCCUUGACUUUCAAACUGCCAAUCAAGCCGGUGUCAUGAGCUGGUGGAAGAAAUUGCUAAGUUGAAAUAUUACUAUCAUGGAAUUAGACUGGGCCAUCUGCAUUUGAUCCUGCUGGACUCAGCCUCAAACUCUCUUCGUUUGAUUUCAUUGAGCUACUCACCAAGUCUACCAUCUCUCUCUGAUCCCUGAUCAGUUUAUCUGUUUUCAAUUAAAAUUAACUUUGAGCAACA